CCUACGGGGGGCAGCAGUGAGGAAUAUUGGUCAAUGGACGAGAGUCUGAACCAGCCAAGUAGCGUGAAGGAUGACUGCCCUAUGGGUUGUAAACUUCUUUUAUAUGGGAAUAAAACGUUCCACGUGUGGGAUUUUGUAUGUACCAUAUGAAUAAGGAUCGGCUAACUCCGUGCCAGCAGCCGCGGUAAUACGGAGGAUCCGAGCGUUAUCCGGAUUUAUUGGGUUUAAAGGGAGCGUAGGUGGAUUGUUAAGUCAGUUGUGAAAGUUUGCGGCUCAACCGUAAAAUUGCAGUUGAAACUGGCAGUCUUGAGUACAGUAGAGGUGGGCGGAAUUCGUGGUGUAGCGGUGAAAUGCUUAGAUAUCACGAAGAACUCCGAUUGCGAAGGCAGUUCACUAGACUGCAACUGACACUGAGGCUCGAAAGUGUGGGUAUCAAACAGGAUUAGAUACCCUUGUAGUC
rnacentral:rRNA from 1 species